rnacentral:rRNA from 1 species
UACAGAGGGUGCGAGCGUUAAUCGGAAUUAUUGGGCGUAAAGAGCUCGUAGGCGGUCUGUCGCGUCCGUUGUGAAAACUCGAGGCUCAACCUCGGGCUUGCAGUGGAUACGGGCAGACUAGAGUGCGGUAGGGGAGACUGGAAUUCCUGGUGUAGCGGUGGAAUGCGCAGAUAUCAGGAGGAACACCGAUGGCGAAGGCAGGUCUCUGGGCCGCAACUGACGCUGAGGAGCGAAAGCAUGGGGAGCGAACAGG